rnacentral:rRNA from 1 species
GAGUUUGAUCAUGGCUCAGGACGAACGCUGGCGGCGUGCUUAACACAUGCAAGUCGAACGAACCUUCGGGUUAGUGGCGAACGGGUGAGUAACACGUGGGCAACCUGCCUCGAGCUCUGGGAUAACACCGGGAAACCGGUGCUAAUACCGGAUAUGAACAGAGAAGGCAUCUUUUCUGUUGGAAAGUUUUUCGGCUCGAGAUGGGCCCGCGGCCUAUCAGCUUGUUGGUGGGGUAACGGCCUACCAAGGCGACGACGGGUAACCGGCCUGAGAGGGCGACCGGUCACACUGGGACUGAGACACGGCCCAGACUCCUACGGGAGGCAGCAGUGGGGAAUAUUGCGCAAUGGGCGAAAGCCUGACGCAGCGA